rnacentral:rRNA from 1 species
CUUUACACAUGCAAGUCGAACGGCAGCAUAGAGAGCUUGCUCUCUGAUGGCGAGUGGCGAACGGGUGAGUAAUAUAUCGGAACGUGCCCAGUAAUGGGAAAUAACUAGCCAAAGGUUAGCUAAUACCGCAUACGACCUACGGGUGAAACAUGGGAUCUUAGACCUUGCGUUAUUUGGAGCGGCCCGAUAUCUGAUUAGCUUGUUGGUGGGGUAAAAAGCCUACCAAGGCAACGAUCAGUAGCUGGUCUGAGAGACCGAUCACCCCCCUGGACCUGAAACCACGGUCCAAACUCCUCCGGGAGGCACAA